UAUGGUCCAUGUUCAGCAAUGUUGUCCGGCCAGGCUGCAUCAGGCUCCGCAGGAAACGUUCCGUGCAAGUCCUACGACGUACGAAAGCCGAGAAAGGUCCUCCCUAAAUUAGGCCAGCUGGUACUUCCAUCUCUUCAAGGUAAAGGCAAGAAAUUCUCUGAGCGUAGCAUUUCCCAGUCAGCCAGGAUAUGCCCUGACAGCUACCUCAAAUCAUAAGGAAUAGAGUGGGGGGAAGAAGAUUGUUGUGACAUUCCAAGGAUAUAAUCCAGUGGUUCUCAACCUUAACUGCAGGUUGGAAUUUCUGGGAAGUUCAAAAAACUACAGAUACCUGAAUCCCACUCUCAAUGAUCCCCGGGUGAUUCUUUUCCUUAAUUAAAAAAAAAAAAUUUAAAAGAAGAUUUAGAUUACAUAAAAGUUCCAUCAAAAAUAUAGGGGAUUCCCAUAUACCCAUUCCCUCCCCCUCCCACACUUUCCCACAUUAACAUCUUUCAUUAUCAUGGUACUAAUUGGCUGAGAUAGGGAGUAAAGCCUUUUUUGGAAAAAUGUGCUCCUUUUUUUUUCUUUUGCUUAACCACAGAAAUUUAUGAACUCAUGAUUUCAGAGGCUGUAUCUUCUGGCUGCCAGCAAUCUUUGGAGUUCCUUGGUUUUUCCAUUAUGUGGCAAUGCACAUGGCAGCAUCUUCUUUCUCUUACAUGUUGAAUUCCAGCUUCUGGCUGCUCUCCAUGGCUUCCUCUUUCUGUGUCCAAUUUCCUUUGCUUAUAAGACUUCAGCCAUAUUGGAUGAAGGCCCGUGCUCAAGAACAUCUUCAAAGGUCCUAUUUACAAGCCCGCAGGGCCAGGGUUUAGAACCUGAACAUGCCUUUUGUGUGUGUUUUGGGGGGGGGGGGCCAUGAUUCAGUCCUCAAAAGCUGCCU
rnacentral:lncRNA from 1 species